rnacentral:misc_RNA from 1 species
GAUGAAGAACGUAGCGAAAUGCGAUACUUGGUGUGAAUUGCAGAAUCCCGUGAACCAUCGAGUCUUUGAACGCAAGUUGCGCCCGAAGCCAUCAGGUUGAGGGCACGUCUGCCUGGGCGUCACAUAUCGUUGCCCAAUGCCUAUUGCAGUGCAAUAGGAAUUUCUAGGGCGAAUGAUGGCUUCCCGUGAGCGUUGUUACCUCGCGGUUGGUUGAAAAUCGAGUCCUUGGUAGGGUGUGCCAUGGUAGAUGGUGGUCGAGUUAGAACGAUACCGAUCAUGUGCAUGCUCCCCAAAAUAUGGCCUCUAUGACCCACACGCGUCUUUUGACGCUCAUGACGAGACCUCAGGUCAGGCGGGGCUACCCGCUGAAUUUAAGCAUAUCAAUAAGCGGAGGA